AUUUAAUCCUUCUCUUUAUUAACUCCACAGCAUCUCUGAUUGUCCAGUCGGGAUGGCCACAAUGGGAUGUACCGUGUCUCCGCAGUCCCAGUGCUGCUGCCUCUGCAGAUCCUCAUCUAGAAGCUGGCUGGUGACCACCCUCUGAGCGAGAGAUUACAUUUCCAGCCUAAUGACAAGAGUGGUUUGUUCAGAAGCUGCAGUCGCCAAACUCUGCCUGCGAUCCGUCACGCUGACCCGCUGCACGCCGCGCUCCUGCAACACAGCUCCACAUGGACAAUACCUUGUGUUGGACACCCACCUCCUUCUUGGUCUUUGCUGCUCUCCCAUUCACUGCCCACUUUGGAGAUGUACCCAACCCAUCCCACAAGCCCAAACCCUGAGCAGCGCAUCCCUGCCAGCUGCUGAGCUGCAGCUGGACCCCAAGUGUCACGAAAACAUAUGAUCUCAGCCAUGCCUGGCAAAUAAACAUUACAAGGGGCUGUUUCAAAGCUUUGUAGUAGCAAAUCUCAGCACUUAACUAGUAAUGCAAUAAGUCCUAUCAAGAGCAUGCUGAAAGGUGGAAUAAAUUUCCUGGAGAACAAUGCGGGUGAUGGAUGCACAUGACCAACACACAAUAAAACUGUAGAAGGGGAGGAAAAAAAAUGCAUCCAGUCAAUACAAUAAAAUCAGCACAAAUACAGGCGACGGAAGCAAACAAAUCCAACAAUCCAAAGAUUUUACAACACUCUCACAUGCAAAACAUUUCUUUUGCCUUCUUUCCUCCCCCCCCCCUCCCCUUAGAAAUCUUAGGGUAAAGAAAAAAAAAAUGGGCCUGUUUUGCAUCUUGGUGCAUUGUGAAGGCACCGGCGGCUGUCGGCACAAAUUACCAUUCAUCCAGGCGUUGUUGUGGAAAUUUUCAAGGGAUUUGCAGUAAUUAUAUGACAAAAUGCUUGCAAAUCUCACUCAUUGCUGAAUAGAAACACACGGGUCAAAGAUUGAACACUCUCAGCUUGGUAAUUUGUAAAUGUCAAUCAGACGGGGGCCACGGGAGGCACCCAGGCACAAGCAGUGAAAGGCAGAGCGACGCCGUAGCAACCAGAGAAAGCCUUUU